ACGCAAAUCCGUUCCCUGUAGAUGUUGUGGAAAGAGAAUCAAGCAUGGCCUCCACAAAAUCAGCAUCUACUAUGACCACAGAUUUGACUACUGAAAAGCCUGGUGCUCCCACUUCUGUAACUCUUGUGAAACCAGCAUCAGAUGAAGAAGAGUCACGCAUGACGCAGACUAAGCCGACAUCUACUACGACCACAGGUCUGACUGUUAGCAAGUCCCAUGCUUCCACUCCUGUAACACCGAUAAAACAA